CAGUUUCCCGCGAAUUGGUAUAAAAGUGGUUGUGGCUGGCGGCUUUGUUUUUGUCUAGUAUUAUUUCAUCAGUAUAUGAAAUAAAGUGUUAUCCUUCUACUCUGUAACAGCACGAUCUAAACUAGCUACUGAUUUGUGGCGGUUCAUUUGCUAGUGAUUUAAAACUAACAUCAACAUCAUGACCACGUUCAAUCUAACCGAAAUACAAGAACAGCUAAACAAAGCCAGUGAAAAAACUCCUGAAAGUGGUGUUUCGUUUAAUGGAAAAUCACUGAAAUUAAACAGCGAAGCGGACGCUGAGGAAGUCGUCAAAGCAAUUGAACAAUGUCAGAAAUUGGAUUACCUCGACUUGGAAGGAAACACGCUUGGUCCCGAUGCGGCCAAGGCAGUGGCAAAGGCUUUGGAAGCGAAGGGUUCUUCGCUCAAACGAGCCCUGUGGAAAGACAUGUUCACAGGGCGGAUGAAGACUGAGAUUCCUCUUGCCCUGGAAUAUCUAGGUACAGGACUAUGUGCAGCCCAAACUCGCCUUGUCGAGCUUGAUCUCAGUGACAAUGCGUUUGGCCCUGUCGGCGUUAAGGGGUUGGCCACGCUACUCAGCUCUAGCGCAUGUUUCACUCUACGUGAACUCAAACUGAACAACAAUGGACUUGGAAUAACGGGAGGAAAAAUGCUAGCCAAAGCUCUUCUAAAUUGUCAUGAAAAUAGUUCUAAGGAAAACGUAGGAACAGCACCAUUGGCCUUGCGAGUCUUCAUUGCUGGACGAAACAGACUAGAAAAUGAUGGAGCUGCAGCACUGGCUGAGGUGUUCACAAAGCUGACUACCCUGGAAGAGAUAUCGAUGCCACAAAAUGGGAUUUACCACAAAGGGAUAGCUGCUCUAGCACAAGCGCUCUCCGUCAAUCCAAGAUUGAAGAUUUUAAACCUCAACGAUAACACAGUUGGGCCAGAGGGAGCACGAGCUCUAGCAAAAUCCUUACCGAACUUGCCAGACCUGGAAAAACUUAAUCUUGGAGAUUGUUUGCUCAAAACACGGGGAGCCUCAGUGCUGGCUGAAGCACUAGCCAACGAAGGCGCACACCGCAAUCUGAUGGAAUUGAAUUUGAGCUUUAACGAAAUAGGCGCGGCUAGUAUCGAUGCAAUAGUAGCGGCCGUUGCGGAUAAGCAGGAAUUGACGAGCUUAGUACUUGAUGGCAACGUUUUUGGUAGCAAAGGAAGAGAAAACUUAGAAGGAGCACUUAUUGCUUCGCAAAAACUAUCGGUUCUUGGGAGUCUUGAGGAGAAUGAAUCUGAAAGCGAAGGCGAUAGCGAAAGUGGAGAGGAAACUGAAAGUGAGGACAGCGACGAUGAAAACAAGACUUCUGAAGUAGAAAAGGAAGACGAUCAAGAGAUAUCAAAGAUCGAAAAGGAUAAACAGAACGUGACGGUUCAGGACUUUUUGAAAAAUCCAACUGCUGAAAACCUUCUCCGACUUCAAGGCGACAAAAUACAGUUGUUCUUGGAACACGCUAAGCGGCUAUAUGGAUGCCAGAAUAGAGGCAGAACGAGUGACAGACGGGCUUUACAUGGAAUUGUUUGCAUAUGCGACAAAAACUGACCAAGUUUCCCAACUAAACAAUGUUUUUCUGAUUAAUUUGGGCUUGAUUAAGAGUGAGGAUAAAACUGCUGGUAGAAUUGAUUGGAAUCUCGAGGGAUGCUUUAAAGCAUUGGAGAAAAUAAGCACCAAGGAUUAUUUUCUAACAGAGACUAGGAAUGCCCUAAAAGUAUUCAUUGAACUACCAAUAAAAACU
rnacentral:misc_RNA from 1 species